UACGUAGGGUCCGAGCGUUGUCCGGAAUUAUUGGGCGUCAAGAGCUCGUAGGCGGUUUGUCGCGUCUGCUGUGAAAACUCGGGGCUUAACCCCGGGCCUGCAGUGGGUACGGGCAGACUAGAGUGCGGUAGGGGAGACUGGAAUUCCUGGUGUAGCGGUGAAAUGCGCAGAUAUCAGGAGGAACACCGGUGGCGAAGGCGGGUCUCUGGGCCGUAACUGACGCUGAGGAGCGAAAGCGUGGGGAGCGAACAGG
rnacentral:rRNA from 1 species